UAGUUAAAACUACUUACUGGUACUUAGAAUUACUUUAUUAAGAUUUUUACAACCAUAGGUAAGUGCCUUGCCAAACAUUAUUUCAGAGUAUGUGGGAGUAUUCAUUUUAAAUGGCAGGUUCAAGCCUUGAAUUAAUUUUCGAAAAUAAUUUGUUGCAAAGUGAUAUUAAACAUGUCACACAUCAUAUACAUUAUUUAUCAUGAAUAUGCUCCUUUGGUCACUGAGGCAAAAUGAGAUCAAUAUGAAAUAUAUAAUUUAGUUUUAUUUACCAGUGGCUUUACAAAUUUCUUGUUUAUCUUUAGGUGGUUCACCCUUUCCACAAAUAGAUGGCAGGAAAAUUGCCAACUAACUUCAGCAAGGAUAAAGAAUGCCUAAAUCACAACCUGUGGAGAUAAGUUGCAAGUUGGUGUACCCCUUGUUUGUCCUGAAGACUUCACUGUUUAAAAAACUGAUGCCAAAUAUAUCAUGGCAAACAUUUUCCAUUCAUCAUUUGUUUUUAGCUCCUUCCAAGAUAGCUUAUGUUGGGCCACACAUGAUUGAUGUCCUAAUUGUUAAUUUCCUGAUUUAAUUUGAAUAUUUUAAUGGCUAAGAAGCAUAUUCCAUUUCACAAACACCAAGUACCAGAUCAUGAUGAGAUGCUGGAAAUAUGACCUGGAUGCAAGACUACAUCCACUGACUUAUGAAAGAUAAGGAAAUCUUACAUAAGGUGGGGAUUUAUUUACACUUUGUUAUAUUUCUUCAUUUCUGUUUUAUUUCCAGUGUAAUUAAAUUAAAUCAGUAAGAAUAAAUAAAUAAAUAAACAAAUUUGACCUGCCUCAAUUAUCAUUUGCUAUCCACGGGUCAAAGGAAUAUCUUGUAAUAUGUAAGAAAAUGAAAAAUAGAAGUGUGAAAAGUGUGAAAGUGUGUGUGUUUCAAGGACAAAGGCUAAUAGCAUGGACUUGAUUAAGAAAUUCAUCGACGUGAAAAUUUACGACAAGCAGCUCAACGCAAACGUCGACGAUUUCGUCGUGGAGACUUUCCUUUGAAGUCUCAAUUUACCUAUGAUUCUCCCGCUUUCUGUUUGCUGUAACUUAACAUGUUGGUCGACUCUUUAUUUAAGCACCUCUCUUGUAAAGAAAAUUUGUAAACAACUUUCGAAGUUGCAAUUUUUCACGGCGCACCUGUAUCCUUCGCUUUCAAAUGAUUAUUUAAAACACCAAACAAAAUCA